ACUCAGCAGAUGAGUCCCAAAUAGGACGAAGAGCGCAUCCUGAAU
rnacentral:hammerhead_ribozyme from 1 species